GUUCGACUCCUCUGCCUCUCGUCGCCAAUUCGGCCUCCAACCCGCGCUUGCCUCGGCGAAGGCGGUGGCGACGAGGCUCGAGCCUGCCUCCGGUGGGGGGCGAUGGCCUCGCUGGCUUCAUCCCCAGCUCGGUCGUCGGUCGGCUGCUCGACAACGAGGACAGAUUCGCUCGGCUUUAUUAGGUGAUGGAUCCUUCCCGUGCCGCCAGAUUAGGCCGUUCUUUUGAGUUUGAGGGACUUGGGAUUCUAGUGACUGUCGUGGAAACGUUACAACGUGAUAGAGGGUUUGUUGUUUUCUUCAGCAUGUCGAUCAGCGAAACCUGGCCGUGGGUAUCGAGUUUGAUGUAAAGGGUGUCCUAGGUUUUAGUAUGGUACAAGUAAUCUCCAUCGAAGAGAGCAGGGAAGAGGGCAUGAACCUGAAUUUGAAGGAGAAACGGUCGUAAGAAUGGCCAGUAAUAAAACGGAUCAUUGUGUUUGGAGUCUUUGUUGCUAUCCACUACAACAGGCAGGACUGCAGUUCCCUGUUAAACAUGUAGUAGUGUAUUUUUUAAAUGUAUGCAAGGAACAUACAAGCCUUCUUCAACUUACGCUGGCUGUUUGAUGUUGCAAAGUUGAUGCAGCAUAGUUGCUACCCCCCAGUCGUACAAGAUGCAUCUCCUUGAAACUAGUUGUAUGGUUAAAUAAGUUUAGCAUUGGCUUGUGACCAAGUUCUGUAAGAGGACCUAUAGAGUGCUGUUUAUAGUGCUUUUGUGGUCUUGUUAUCAUGAUAAAUUAUUUUGAGCAAUGUGCUUGUACCUUGAGGGCAAUAAUUA